UCAGUCGGUUUUUAUCGUUUUAUGUUGUGCAGAUUGUUAGUUCACCGUAAAUAUGGCUUGAUUUGUACUCAAGAGUGGAGCAAGGCCCCAAGGAACAGAGAUUGACGCAACGGGAGCGAAGAACAGAAGCGAUGGAUGGUUACGCUGGUUGACUCUCGGCAUGUUCAAAAUGGCGAAGUUCCGAAUUUGUCGCUGUGUGACGUGCGCGUGUGUGCUCGUGAUGUGCCGUCAUAGCGCGGGGAUAUUUGUGCUGAAUGUGUUUCACUUCGUCUACAAAACUCUGCACGCAAUGGCAUCGAAGAAGUCGUGUGUUCAGGUGCACGUAUGUGCAUCGCUGAGCUCAGCCGUGUUGGCUCAGCGCUACCCCCUCAACGGAUGUUCAACAGUCUACGUGCUCGUAACUUGCUGACGAGACCUCCUUGCUGUUGCAACUCUGAGGACAAUUGCUUCAAAUGGGAAGGAACAACCAGCAGUGCCAGCGCUAUUUUUACAUGAGGACACCUCCUUGCUGUUGCAACUCUGAGGACAAUUGCUUCAAAUGGGAAGGAACAACCAGCAGUGCCAGCACUAUUUGUACAUGAGGACGACGAGAGGGUUCCACUCACCCCCUGUGUGGUGUAUUCUGGCCACAACCUGGAACAGGCAGAGUUUCUCCACCUCUGUGACACAAGGAGCGGCUGUUCAUGGUCAAAAAUGCGGAGGAAGGGG